UACGAAGGGGGCUAGCGUUGUUCGGAAUCACUGGGCGUAAAGCGCACGCAGGCGGAUUGAUAAGUCAGGGGUGAAAUCCCGGAGCUCAACUUCGGAAUUGCCUUUGAUACUGUCAAUCUCGAGUCCGGGAGAGGUGAGUGGAAUUCCUAGUGUAGAGGUGAAAUUCGUAGAUAUUAGGAAGAACACCAGUGGCGAAGGCGGCUCACUGGCCCGGUACUGACGCUCAUGUGCGAAAGCGUGGGGAGCAAACAGG
rnacentral:rRNA from 1 species